UUAUGGCCAUAUCAAGUUGAAACACCGGUUCCCGUAAAUUCACCGAAGUUAAGCAACGCCGAGGCUGGUCAGUACCUAGAUGGGUGACCGCUUGGGAAUACCAUGGGU